rnacentral:lncRNA from 1 species
UCCGCUGAGGAGCAAGUUCCGGGUGAGCUUCCGGGGGUCGACUUUCUGAGGGGUGGAGGAAGGUGGACACAGGGAGAAGCGGCGCCGGAGGAAGGCCUCCUCCUUCAUGCUGUGGGCGCUCGGGGGCUUCUCCUACCGUGCCGCGAGCUCGGUGCUCCGGGCCGGCCGGGCGCGCGGGGGCUCCACUGGCGGCGCGGGCCUGGCUGCAGGAAAUGCCAGCAGAUGGUCCCCCCGCG